AUUGAACGCUGGCGGAAUGCUUUACACAUGCAAGUCGAACGGCAGCAUAGGUGCUUGCACCUGAUGGCGAGUGGCGAACGGGUGAGUAAUAUAUCGGAACAUGUCCGGAAGUGGGGGAUAACGUAGCGAAAGUUACGCUAAUACCGCCUAUGCCCUGAGGGGGUAAGGGGGGGAUCGCAAGACCUCUCGCUUUCGGAGUGGACGAUAUCAGAUUAGCUAGUAGGUGAGGUAAAGGCUCACCUAGACGACGAUCCGUAGCUGGUCUGAGAGGACGACCAGCCACACUGGGACUGAUACACGGCCCAGACUCCUACGGGAGGCAGCAGUGGGGAAUUUUGGACAAUGGGCGCAAGCCUGAUCCAGCCAUGCCGCGUGAGUGAAGAAGGCCUUCGGGUUGUAAAGCUCUUUCAGCUGGAAAGAAAUCGUAUCUAUUAAUACUAGGUGCGGAUGACGGUACCAGCAGAAGAAGCACCGGCUAACUACGUGCCAGCCGCCGCGGUAA
rnacentral:rRNA from 1 species